rnacentral:rRNA from 1 species
GAUGAACGCUGGCGGCGUGCCUAAUACAUGCAAGUCGAGCGAACAGAUGAGGAGCUUGCUCCUCUGACGUUAGCGGCGGACGGGUGAGUAACACGUGGAUAACCUCCCUAUAAUACUGGGAUAACUUCGGGAAACCGGAGCUAAUACCGGAUAAUAUAUUGAACCGCAUGGUUCAUUAGUGAAAGACGGUUUUGCUGUCACUUCUCGAUGGAUCCGCGCCGCAUUAGCUAGUUGGUAAGGUAACGGCUUACCACGGCAACGAUGCGUAGCCGACCUGAGAGGGUGAUAGGCCACACUGGAACUGAGACACGGUCCAGACGCCUACGGGAGGCAGCAGUAGGGAAUCUUCCGCAAUGGGCGAAAGCUUGACGGAGCAACGCCGCGUGAGUGAUGAAGGUCUUCGGAUCGUAAAAAUCUGUUAUUAGGGAAGAACAAAUGUGUAAGUAAAUAUGCACGUCGUGACGGUACCUAAUCAGAAAGCAACGGCUAACUACGUG